rnacentral:tRNA from 2 species
GCGCCAAUAGCUCAGUAGGAUAGAGCAUCUGCCUUCUAAGCAGAGGGUCGGGGGUUCGAAUCCCUCUUGGCGUGCCA